rfam:Lactobacillus ingluviei strain DSM 14792 Scaffold2, whole genome shotgun sequence.
CAAGCCAGCCAGUGAUGGUGGUUGAGUCUGGCAAAAGUCAGCCGAGGUCAUGGUAGCGACCAAGAUCGCGAAGGCC